CACUACGGCCAUGCCACCCUGAACAAGCCCGAUCUUGUCUGAUCUCGGAAGCUAACCGAGCUAAGGGUCGGGCCUGGUUAGUACUUGGAUGGGAGACCGCCUAGGAAGACUAGGUGCUGUAGGCG
rnacentral:rRNA from 1 species